UACGGAGGGUGCGAGCGUUGUCCGGAAUCACUGGGCGUAAAGGGCGCGUAGGCGGCCUGGCAAGUCGAUGGUGAAAGCCCGAGGCUCAACUUCGGGUCGGCCACUGAUACUGCUGGGCUUGAGUCGACUAGAGGCAGAUGGAAUUCCGGGUGUAGCGGUGGAAUGCGUAGAGAUCCGGAAGAACACCGGUGGCGAAGGCGGUCUGCUGGGGUCGAACUGACGCUGAGGAGCGACAGCGUGGGGAGCAAACAGG
rnacentral:rRNA from 1 species